UCCCUGGUGGCUCAGAGGUUAAAGUGUCUGCCUGUAAUGCAGGAGACCCGGGUUCGAUCCCUGGGUCGGGAA
rnacentral:tRNA from 1 species